rnacentral:rRNA from 1 species
UACGUAGGGUGCGAGCGUUAAUCGGAAUUACUGGGCGUAAAGCGUGCGCAGGCGGUUUUGUAAGACAGCUGUGAAAUCCCCGGGCUCAACCUGGGAACUGCGGUUGUGACUGCAAGGCUGGAGUACGGCAGAGGGGGGUGGAAUUCCUGGUGUAGCAGUGAAAUGCGUAGAUAUCAGGAGGAACAUCGAUGGCGAAGGCAGCCCCCUGGGCCGCUACUGACGCUCAUGCACGAAAGCGUGGGGAGCAAACAGG